AUGGAUGUCGUGGGCGCAGCGUCCUGGCUAGUCCAGGUCGUCCUGGAGAAGCUCGUCAGCGACGGCAUCGACGCCGCUUGGGCCGUCGCGCGCUCCGCCGGCCCCGAUCCGGAUCCCGGAGGCGACGUCCACCGCCUCCGCUCCCGCCUGCAAAGCCUCCAUCUCGUCCUCUCCGCGGCUCAGGAGCGCGUGCCCAGGGCGCGCAGCGAGGCCCUGCUCGGCUCCCUCCGCCGUCUCCAUCGACUCGCCUGCGACGCAGACAACCUGCUCGACGAAAUGCUCUACCACCAGAUCCACCACCAGCUCCAUCCGGACGAGGCUAGUGACACUUCCUCCUCGCUGUCCGCCGUCCAGUCGGUGGUCUCCAAGAUUCGUGGCGCUAAGAGGGCGCGACUUGGUGGAGAUGAGGAUGCUACCGUCCGAAUUGAUGACAUCUUGAGGCGGAUGUGUGAAGCUGGAGACGAUGUCCGUGAGGCAAUCAAGAUGGAGAGGUUGGACGCUGUUGUCACUUGCAGUGGCCAGGCUGCUGGUAUGGAUUGCCGUGGCUGGACAACAGCUUACGUUACCGAGCCAAAGAUAUUUGGGAGAGACGCUGUAAAGGAGCACAUUGUGCAGACGCUCGUCAGCGCUGAGGCUUGUGGUGUCAACUUGUCAGUCCUUCCAAUUGUGGGUAAUGGCGGUGUUGGGAAAACUACUCUAGCGCAGCUCGUUUAUAGCGAUGCAAGAGUGCAAGGUUGCUUCAGCAAGCGGAUAUGGAUCUCGGUGUCUGCCGACUUUGAUGAAGUAAGGCUCACUCGUGAGAUGCUGGACUGCCUAUCAACUGGUGCAAGCAAGCAUGAAGGAAUCACAAACCUGAAUAAACUCCAAGAGAUUCUUGACGAGGAUUUGAAGUCGAAACGACUACUCCUUGUUUUGGAUGAUAUGUGGGAAGACAAUGAUAAAAGCCGCUGGGACAAGCUGUUAGCACCACUAAGAUGUUCGAUGAAUGGCAAUGUCAUCCUGGUCACAACAAGAAAUCAUUCGGUUGUAAAAAUGAUUUCUACUAUGGACCCUAUCCAUUUAGAUGGCCUGAAAGAUGAUGACUUUUGGCUUAUGUUCAAAUCAUGUGCAUUUGGUGAUGAGAAAUAUGAAGGACAUCCAAGCUUACAGGUUAUUGGGAAGAGGAUAGCCAACAAGUUGAAGGGUUACCCCUUAGCUGCAAAAAGUGUUGGCGCCCUGUUGAGAAGAGACCUUGAUGGUGGCCACUGGAUGUCAAUUUUGCAAAGUGAUGAAUGGAAGCUACAGCAAGGGCCGGAUGAUAUCAUCCCAGCAUUGAAACUUAGUUUCACACACUUGCCUUUCCGUCUCCAAAGGUGUUUUUCUUAUUGUGCACUAUUUCCCAAGGGUCACAUGUUUGAUGGGCUGGACUUGGUUCGCAUUUGGAUAUCACAAGGUCUUAUUUCUUCUGGAAGUAAGCGAAUGGAGAAAACUGGUUAUCAUUACCUGAAUGAUUUAGUGGACCGAGGCUUUUUCCAAAAAAGUACAUACUACUCUAUGCAUGAUCUCAUUCAUGACCUGGCACAUAUAGUUUCUUUAGAAGAAUGCCAUAUGAUGGACAAUUUUGAUUCAGGAAGUGGAACAGGUCAUGCAACUAUUCGACACCUAUCUAUCAAUACAAGAUCUGCCUAUAAGUGGAACCCACAUGCGUGCAGUUUUUCUCCCAGUGAUAACUUUCAGAGAAAGCUGGCUUACAUUGGUGAAAAAGUGCAGACCAAAAAUUUGAGCACCUUAAUGCUAUUUGGAAAGUAUGACAAAGAGUUUUCUGAAACUUUUUCCAAGGUAUUCAAAGAAGUGCGGUAUCUUCGCGUAUUGAGGUUGCCCACGCUAAGUUAUAGCAUAGACUCUCUAAUCUGUAACUUCAGCAAGUUAAUCCAUCUUCGCUACCUCGAACUAAUAUCCAGUGUUCCUGGCACACCCUUGCCAGAGGUUAUAUGCCAACUUUAUCACCUCCAGGUUCUUGAUGUAGAAUACUGGGUGCACCUUUCUACUUUACCACAUGGGAUGAGUAAUCUUGUAAAUCUGAGGCAUUUUGUUGCUCGAGGUGAAUUGCAUGCAAAGAUUGCUGGAGUUGGGAGGCUAAAGUUGCUCCAAGAGCUGAAGGAAUUCCGAGUGGGAAAGACUAAAGACUUUCAGAUUGAACAGUUAACCGGGUUAAGAGAAUUGGGAGGAUCACUUGCAAUUUACAAUCUGGAGAAUGUGGGAAGCAGGGAGGAGUCUAUGAAUGCUGGAUUAAGGGACAAAAUAUACAUCCAUGAUUUGCUGCUAUCAUGGUGUAAGAACCGGUUUGAUGUGAGUUCUAUAACUGAGGCAAAGGUGCUUGAGGGUCUUCAUCCACAUUGCGGGCUUAAGCGCCUUCAUAUAACUAGUUAUGGAGGUAUUUAUUCCCCAACAUGGUUGAGCUCCAAUUUUCCGCUCACCAGCUUAGAGUCUAUCUAUCUGGAGAAUUGCACAAAAUGGGAGUUACUUCCGCCAUUUGGGCAAUUUCCACUCCUUAAAACACUGGAUUUGGUUCAAUUGUCUGCUUCAACAGAAGUACCAAUUAUGUCCUGCGAAGAUUGGGCUGAAUCUGAAAAGCAUGUCCUUUUUCCAUGUCUAGAAGAACUUGUAAUAAGAGAUUGCCCUAAACUAAGGUCAUUUGCAUCACCACAAUCUUCUUCCAGUGGCAAAGGCUUUCACUUCGGCUGUCUCCGUCGUGUCAACAUCUACAAUUGUCCUCAGCUUAUUCACUUACCCCAGUUUGGUGAGAUGAAAUCUCUAUUCACAAUGUCUAUUGAGGGAGUAGGAGCAUUUCCUCACAUCAGAUUACUUGUGCGAGCAUUGCAUAUCAAGGGGGGUGCUAGUGUGAGAACCUUGGAUGAGAUAUUAGUAUUAGUUUUGACUGGCUGCAGACUCAGUGCUCUUGAGAAAUUAACAAUUUCGAGCUUUCUGGAUUUUGAAUAUCUGCCAUGGGAAAUUUUCUGUCAGCUUCUCUCCUUAGAAAUGCUGGUAAUUAUGGACUGCCCAAGGUUUUUCCUGCCUGUAUAUCCAUAUGGCCAACGAGGUGAAACUAUCUUCUCACCAUUGCUCAAGAAGCUUGUCAUCCAAGCAUGUGGUAUCACUGGGAAGCAGUUAUCUGACUUGCUGUUGCAAUUGCCCCUCCUUUAUUUCUUGACUAUUAGAAAGUGUCCAAAAAUAGCAUCCUUGGCAAUUGGUGGUCUGAUUGCUGGGAAUGUGAGCUCCAUAACAUCUGACAACCACGACUGGACAACUGAUGGCUUGUUGCAAAUCCCAUCUGAUCUCUUAAAUCGACUUCAGUAUUUGUGCAUAGAGGACAUUCCAGAUCUGGUUCUCCGGGGCAGUGAAAGUUUUCUUGGAUUUGUGUCACUCAAAACACUACAUAUAACAGGAUGCCCUGAGUUUUUCAUCUCCAUAAUGACAGAAAAGGAGAAAUCUAGUGGCAGCUGCCCCCUUCUACCACCAUCGCUACAAGACCUUCUGGUUACUCACAUGGAUAACAAGUUGCUGACCUCCAUGCUUUCUAAUCUCACCUUGUUGUCCAUCUUGUCGGUAUCACGGAGUCCAGAGCUAACAUCCGUUGCUCUUUAUCCUUGCACAUCUUUAGAAACAUUGAUUGUCGAGAAAUGUUCUAGGUUAUCUGCUCUGGACGGUACGGGGUCCCUCUGCAGUAUCAAGCACAUGCGGAUAUUUGAAUGCCCUAGUUUGGCCAUAAACUGCAGCCCUUCUUCAUCACAUGGGCAGGACCAGGAUCUGUACUUUUUACUGCAUCUGGAAAAGCUUGAGAUCGAUAACACUUCAUUCUUUAACACGGCAAUUUGCAAGAGCCUCCCCUCUCUCCAAUAUGUAGUGUUUUUCAUGGCAAAGAAUGUGAGAUGCUUCACAGAAGAACAGGACAAAGCACUUUGUCACCUAACAUCUCUUCAUACUCUUGAUUUUUGCUAUUGCACUGAUCUCCUAUCGCUGCCUAAGGAGCUGCAUCUUCUUUCCUCCGUCAAGAGAUUAUCGAUUAAGGCUUGUCCAGGAAUUCUCUCAUUGCCAGAAAAGGGCCUGCCAGCUUCCCUACAGGAGUUGUAUGUGAGCAACUGCAGUACAGAACUAAAGGAACAAUGCAGGAAGACGAAAAACGUUAGAUGUGUUUAUGUUGAUAGACAUGCAGGCAAAUUCAUAAGUAUAUGCAAGAUGUUACGGCUGUAUUUUAGGAACCAGAAAAGAUGA
rnacentral:rRNA from 1 species